AAAUGUAAAGAUAAAUAUAAAAGCAGCUAACUUUUAAUAAUAGCGGUUUAAACCCGUUAACAUUUA
rnacentral:tRNA from 1 species